rnacentral:rRNA from 1 species
CCUACGGGAGGCAGCAGUGAGGAAUAUUGGUCAAUGGACGAGAGUCUGAACCAGCCAAGUAGCGUGAAGGAUGACUGCCCUAUGGGUUGUAAACUUCUUUUAUAAAGGAAUAAAACGAGGCACGUGUGCCUUUUUGCAUGUACUUUAUGAAUAAGGAUCGGCUAACUCCGUCCCAGCAGCCGCGGUAAUACGGAGGAUCCGAGCGUUAUCCGGAUUUAUUGGGUUUAAAGGGAGCGUAGAUGGGUUGUUAAGUCAGUUGUGAAAGUUUGCGGCUCAACCGUAAAAUUGCAAUUGAUACUGGCAGUCGUGAGUACAGUUGAGGUAGGCGGAAUUCGUGGUGUAGCGGUGAAAUGCUUAGAUAUCACGAAGAACCCCGAUUGCGAAGGCAGCUUACUAAACUGUGACUGACAUUGAUGCUCGAAAGUGUGGGUAUCAAACAGGAUUAGAUACCCGGGUAGUC